ensembl:rRNA 5S_rRNA 5S ribosomal RNA
AUCUACGGCCAUAUCACCCUGAACACGUCUGAUCUCAUCUGAUCUUGGAAGCUAAGCAAAGUAGGGCCUCGUUAGUACUUGGAUGGGAGACCGCCUGGGAAUAUUGGAUGCUGUAUGCU